GGUUAAGCGACUAAGCGUACACGGUGGAUGCCCUGGCAGUCAGAGGCGAUGAAGGACGUGCUAAUCUGCGAUAAGCGCCGGUAAGGUGAUAUGAACCGUUAUAACCGGCGAUUUCCGAAUGGGGAAACCCAGUGUGACUCGUCACACUAUCAUUAACUGAAUCCAUAGGUUAAUGAGGCGAACCGGGGGAACUGAAACAUCUAAGUACCCCGAGGAAAAGAAAUCAACCGAGAUUCCCCCAGUAGCGGCGAGCGAACGGGGAGGAGCCCAGAGCCUGAAUCAGCAUGUGUGUUAGUGGAAGCGUCUGGAAAGGCGCGCGAUACAGGGUGACAGCCCCGUACACAAAAGCGCAUGUGCUGUGAGCUCGAUGAGUAGGGCGGGACACGUGGUAUCCUGUCUGAAUAUGGGGGGACCAUCCUCCAAGGCUAAAUACUCCUGACUGACCGAUAGUGAACCAGUACCGUGAGGGAAAGGCGAAAAGAACCCCGGCGAGGGGAGUGAAAAAGAACCUGAAACCGUGUACGUACAAGCAGUGGGAGCACCCUUUGGGGUGUGACUGCGUACCUUUUGUAUAAUGGGUCAGCGACUUAUAUUCUGUAGCAAGGUUAACCGAAUAGGGGAGCCGGAGGGAAACCGAGUCUUAAUUGGGCGUUAAGUUGCAGGGUAUAGACCCGAAACCCGGUGAUCUAGCCAUGGGCAGGUUGAAGGUUGGGUAACACUAACUGGAGGACCGAACCGACUAAUGUUGAAAAAUUAGCGGAUGACCUGUGGCUGGGGGUGAAAGGCCAAUCAAACCGGGAGAUAGCUGGUUCUCCCCGAAAGCUAUUUAGGUAGCGCCUCGUGAAUUCAUCUCCGGGGGUAGAGCACUGUUUCGGCUAGGGGGCCAUCCCGGCUUACCAACCCGAUGCAAACUGCGAAUACCGGAGAAUGUUAUCACGGGAGACACACGGCGGGUGCUAACGUCCGUCGUGAAGAGGGAAACAACCCAGACCGCCAGCUAAGGUCCCAAAGUCAUGGUUAAGUGGGAAACGAUGUGGGAAGGCCCAGACAGCCAGGAUGUUGGCUUAGAAGCAGCCAUCAUUUAAAGAAAGCGUAAUAGCUCACUGGUCGAGUCGGCCUGCGCGGAAGAUGUAACGGGGCUAAACCAUGCACCGAAGCUGCGGCAGCGACGCUGAUGCGUUGUUGGGUAGGGGAGCGUUCUGUA
rnacentral:rRNA from 1 species